rnacentral:rRNA from 1 species
AUUGAACGCUGGCGGCAUGCCUUACACAUGCAAGUCGAACGGCAGCACGGGAGCUUGCUCCUGGUGGCGAGUGGCGAACGGGUGAGUAAUACAUCGGAACGUACCCUGAAGUGGGGGAUAACGUAGCGAAAGUUACGCUAAUACCGCAUAUUCUGUGAGCAGGAAAGCAGGGGAUCGCAAGACCUUGCGCUGAUUGAGCGGCCGAUGUCAGAUUAGCUAGUUGGUGAGGUAAAGGCUCACCAAGGCGACGAUCUGUAGCGGGUCUGAGAGGAUGAUCCGCCACACUGGAACUGAGACACGGUCCAGACUCCUACGGAGGCAGCAGUGGGGAAUUUUGGACAAUGGGGGGCAACCCUGAUCCAGCCAUGCCGCGUGAGUGAAGAAGGCCUUC